AUUGAACGCUGGCGGCAGGCCUAACACAUGCAAGUCGAGCGGAUGAAGGGAGCUUGCUCCUGGAUUCAGCGGCGGACGGGUGAGUAAUGCCUAGGAAUCUGCCUGGUAGUGGGGGAUAACGUCCGGAAACGGGCGCUAAUACCGCAUACGUCCUGAGGGAGAAAGUGGGGGAUCUUCGGACCUCACGCUAUCAGAUGAGCCUAGGUCGGAUUAGCUAGUUGGUGGGGUAAAGGCCUACCAAGGCGACGAUCCGUAACUGGUCUGAGAGGAUGAUCAGUCACACUGGAACUGAGACACGGUCCAGACUCCUACGGGAGGCAGCAGUGGGGAAUAUUGGACAAUGGGCGAAAGCCUGAUCCAGCCAUGCCGCGUGUGUGAAGAAGGUCUUCGGAUUGUAAAGCACUUUAAGUUGGGAAGGGCAGUAAGUUAAUACCUUGCUGUUUUGACGUUACCAACAGAAUAAGCACCGGCUAACUUCGU
rnacentral:rRNA from 1 species